rnacentral:rRNA from 1 species
UACGUAGGGGGCUAGCGUUGUCCGGAUUUAUUGGGCGUAAAGAGCGUGUAGGCGGCCAGGUAGGUGGGUUGUGAAAACUGGAGGCUCAACCUUCAGACGGUCGACCCAAACCCCCUGGCUAGAGUCCGGAAGAGGAGAGUGGAAUUCCUGGUGUAGCGGUGAAAUGCGCAGAUAUCAGGAAGAACACCCGUGGCGAAGGCGGCUCUCUGGGACGGUACUGACGCUGAGACGCGAAAGCGUGGGGAGCGAACAGG